AUGCAGCUCUUCAGUGAGCUCGACAAGAUGUGCUUGAAGAAAAGGGCCAUUGGAUUGUACAGGAAGAAUGGGAUGUUGUUCUUUGCUGCUUCACCUAGCCUUGCUGCUCAACCACGUUGCCCCUGGUGUUGUUGUUGUGGGUUGGUGCUGCUGAUGUUGCAGGGGCAGCAGUGUCUCCAAGCAAACAGGUUGUUGUGUACCUACGACAUAUUUCUGUGCUCCUGGAUGUGCUACAUCACCUCAUCCUCUCAUUGGCCGCCUCGGUGCCCGUGGCGUUCGUGCUCAUCGGCGGGACGAUGCAAGGCGCAACCCCGAUGCAGCGGCGUGGAUGUGCGGUGUACGAAGCGGUUCCUCGCCGGCUGGACGGCGUUCAGGCGCAACCCCGGCGCCCACUAA
rnacentral:rRNA from 1 species